rnacentral:lncRNA from 1 species
UAUCAACCCACCAGUAAUUUGUCACCAUGGAUUGGAUGUCUCUGAUGAUGUUAUCUGGUAAGAGAAAACAUGACAUGGAGUACUUUGGGAUAGCUUGAACAACAGCCUUAAGGAGCACUUCUUUGCCUGCUCAAUAAAGAUGCUUUUCUUUCCAACCUUGAACGUGAUGCCAAAUCUGGUCCUUUAUUGAUGCAAAUACUUUUGCCUUGGAUCUGCCAAUUACUGAUGGUAACCCCAGAUACUUAUCAUGAGCGUCAACUAUUGGCAUACUCAACACUUGGGAAAUGUGAAGCUUGAUACUUUGCAGAGUGUUAGGACUAAAAGUAAUGGCAGAUUUAUCGAAGUUGACACUUUGGCCCGAAGCUCUCUCAUAAAGUUGGAGGAUAUGCUGGAAAUUCAAGGCUUCUUCAACAGUGGCUUCUCCAAACAAGAGAGUAUCGUUCGCGAAUAGUAGAUGAGAGAUGGAAGGCGCUCUAUUGUUGAUGGCAAUGCCUUUUAGCUUCGCACACCUGGAGGAUUCCUACAGUAGACAAUAUAGAGCUUCUUUGCAGAUUAGAAAGAGGUAGGGGGACAAGAGGUCACCUUGUCUUAGCCCCUUUUGCGGGAUAAUAGAUCCAAACUGGACACCAUUGAGAAGGAAUGAAAAUGAGACUGAGGAGAUGCAUUUGAAAAUUAGAUAGACAAAUUUAACAUCAAACCCCAAGGCUCUUAUAAAUCCUAGUGAGAAAGUUCCACUUGACCCUAUCAAAGCCUUGCUCAUAUCUAAUUUGAGUGACAUCAAACUACGGUUGCCUCCAUUUUUUGUUUUUGAUGUGAUGAUGAAGUUCAAAAGAGACCAACACAUUGUCAAUAAUUAACCUGCCCGAAAUAAAGGCAGAUUGAGAGUUUGAAAUAAUCUCAGGCAGGAUUGAUCUAACUCUAUUGGCCAGCACUUUGGAAAUUAAUUUGUAAAGGACAUUACAAAGGCUGAUGAGUCUGAAUUGGGAGAUAUUUUCAGGAUUUUUACACUUUGGGAUGAGGACUAUAUGAGUAAAGUUGAUAGUAGUAUUGAAAACACCAUUAUUCAAGAAAGUUAAAACAAACUGAGUGAUAUCAUGCCCUAAAAAUGGACCUACUCUUAGAAUAUGUUUAAAGUAUAUCAGAAUUAUUCUAACUUGAAACUUAUUAAGCAUCCAAUCACUUGAUGUCAUAUCGCAUUUUUAAACCACUUCAUCCUUACAAUACUACACCAACACAUAGGUUAUCUUACGAGUUUAAAGUAGGUUGUCAAUCGAGUUUUUUAAAUUGGGUUUUGAUGAGUUCAAACUUAACUCAUAAAUUAAAUAAAACUUUUGACCUUUGGACAUUUGAGUUCAAGCCCAAAUUAGAAGGCUCAAAAAUAACUAAGUUUCAGGUUCAAAUUGGGAUCAGUUGAAACUCAUAAUUAAAUACAUAAUUAUAGAUAGUAUAUAUUUAACAAUUAUGAAUUAAUAUAAAUUAUUAAUAUUUUAUGCUAUAAUAUGUAUGUAUGCAUGUAUGUGUGUGUGUGUGUGAGCUUGCAUGUGUGUAUAAAGUUUUAUUAUUGCACGAGUUGGGCCUUAAUCAAGUUUGAGCCUAGUAAGACCGAAGUUCGGUUCACAUUUAUUUGGGCAUAAUAUUUAGACCCAAUCUUUGCCUUGCCCAAUUAAAGAUUAGGUUCAACAUACUUUUUUUGGGACCAAAGUUAACCUAGCCCAAUCACAUUGACAGUUCUAAUUUAAAUUACAUUAGGGAUCAUCUUGAUUUGAGACUUGUUAGGCAUCUAAUCACUUGAUGCCCCAUAGUAUUUUUCAAACCACUCCAUGGGUAAUAUAUUUUUUGGGGUUGGAGUCUACCUGACCCAAUUACAUUGACAAUCCCAAUUUAAAAUAUAUCAGAGAUCAUCUCGACUUGGAACUCAGAACGCAUAGGGAAAAAAGUCUCAAUGACCCUCUAACUGUUAGUCGGGUGAACUUUUGGCCCCCCAACAAUUAAGAGUAAAUCAUUGGCUUUCAAUCUAUCGAAAGUGCAAAAUUUUGGACCUUCUGUCAAGUUCGGUCGUUAAGAUUGACGGAAACUAACACCACAUGAAACGUAUGUUGAAAUAUGAAGGGCAUUUUAGUCUGUCCAAUAGUUUUCUAUUCGGUAAAACGAGAUUUUUUCCCCAACAAAAAGCUGUAGGAAGAAAAUCUCCAUGGCAGGUGAAGAGCUUCUAGUCAAGUUUUUUGUUCCAUGUGGUUGCAGAUAAUUGAUUCUUUUUCUUUUUCUUCUUUGUUUUCUCAUCCAAAAAGAAUUUCCAAUUUAGCAUCGAGAGCUACCAUUAGGUUAACCUGGGUGAGAGGGACUGAUUAUUAAGAUUUAUAAACACUUGAGCCAAAUUUUCCUGGGCAAGAAGGGUGCAUCAAGUUCAUAUCUGCUGUAUCAUCCGAGAUUGUGAUACUCCCAGAAACUAUCAAGUGAUGAGUGGACAAAAGGCCUCAGAAGUGCAUUUUUACAGCGUGGUGGUGCAAUAGACAACUAAUUGGAACCCCACCCCCCCAAAAAAAAAAGGAGAAAAAGGGAGGAUCUCACAAGUAUCUGAUAUAGUAUUUGAUUUUCAAAAGAGAUGAAAAUCAUUUGCUUUUCACAGCGUGAAGUGGAGAACCCAGUCAGGCACUUCAAAUCGUAAAGGGACUACCAAUUCACAUGUUUGAAUCAAUAUAUAGUUGCUGCUAGGAGGAUGAUUGCUAAUCAAACUACAACCGAUGCCUAACACACAACUAUCCUUGAUUAGUUUCUCUACGCAGCUCAUUUACAGGAAAGAGGAUCUGAUUGGGUACCUGUAAUUUCCCAGCGGAAGUUUCAAGAGAUGUGCACUGGUGAUGAUGGUCGACGAAUUGCAAGAGCUUCCAACCACUUGCGGUAGAGGGAGAGAGAAUGGUAAAAGCCAACAAUUAAGUAAAACUGAUUUGUACUCAUUUUUACUGAGUGGAUAACAGCUUGAACUAAAAUGCCCCAGGAUUUCGGCAUGCAUCUCACGUGGUGUUGGUUUCAUUGGUUUUAACAGCUAAACUUGACAGAAGGUUCAACAUUUUGCACUUUCGAUAGAUCGAGAGCCAAAAGUUGACUCUUAAUUGUUAAGGGGCCAAAAGUUCACCUGGCUAAUAAUUAGAGAGCCAUUGGGACUUUAUUCCCUAUAACGCAUAUAACCACUUGAUGCCAGAUAGCAUUUCUAAUGUUAGGCAUCACAUGGGUCAAAAAAGAAAGACACUAAAAACAGUACCGGACUAAUUGUAGCAACAAGAUUUUCCCCGGCAAUCCCCAGUGUCAGAUUUUCUGUGAUUUUCCUUCCCAAAAAUCUACCCAUAAUUGGCCCAAAAAAAAGAGAACCAAAAAAUAAUCCUAUGAAAUCUAUUUUGCAUAAAGAAUCGGUCACUCAACCCACCCACUCUAGUCAUCAAAACCCAUCCAAAUAGCCCUUUCCACAACCAACACGAAACCAACCUCAAGCCCACCAAAGCCCAAUGCCAGUACCCCAUUCCACUCCAAACCCAAUUUAAACGCCCCUAAACUCCUAAACAAGCUAUAUAUUCUCACUCAGAAAAUUGAAUUGAAGUUUUCUACUACGUUUCUUCUUGUAAAUAAUCGGAAGUUUCAUAGUAGACGACAACUCCCCCUGCCCAGGCCUCCCCUCCGCCGCGAUUUCCUUCUCCUCUUUGCGUAAGGAAGCUCCUCCGGUAGCCCUCCGGCUUCUCCUUCGCUUAUACAAGCUUCCCUUUUUAAGGGUUUUAAAGGAGACAAGUUUGUGUUUGGCCUAAAAGAAAGGUUUCUGUCCAGGUUAGUUUCUUGCUUUCUUGGUUGUUUUUGGUGUAGUUUUCUUUACAUUGAUUUUGUUCGAUGGAUUUUUCCCUUUUCAAUAUUUUUUGGGAUGUUUUUGAGGGAUUGUUAUAGUCUUCGGGUUAAGGUUUUAGUAAAGUAGAUGGAGGUUUCUGAAAUUAUGCCUUUAUUUUUUUUUAGUUUGUACAGCUUCAAACGUAUAUGGUCGAAGCAACCAAAGGACAGUACUUAACUUCGAAGAGUCUUCAAAUAGAGAAUUUUGGGUUAAAGAUUGAUUUGUUAUGGCUGUCUUUCUGUGCAAUUUCUCAUAAAUUGGAUACGGGUAAUUUUUUUGUUUGUUUAUAUCGGAAAAUUCUCUGAAAAUCAUGGUGAAGGCCUCCGUUCAUGGAUAUUUGAUGAGUCAAUACGCGUUGAGUUGGUAGACUCGGCUGCUCUUUUGAGUCCCGGAGUCAACUCAGCCCGAAUCUUCCGAGUCUGUAUGAGUUUCACUGGGUCUACCGUCUCCGGGAUACGGCGGACUGAUCACGGAACGGAGGUUGAAGUUCUAGUGACAACUCUGGACUCGGCUGAGUCUUUGAACCAUGCUUGUACGGGGAACCUUUUUAUGCGAGAUUGCCCUUGAUUUGCACUAUGAGUUAUUAGCAUAAAAGUUCAUUCCUUGACCUGAGGACUUGUUUUUUUGUCAUUUCCUGGGUGAUGCAUUUGCCUUUGCAGUUAUAUCAUUUUCCAACUGAUAAAAUUUUUUAAAAAAUAACAUGAUAUGAGUUUUGGUCAGUACGAAAUUUGGCAUGAUUUGAGGGAAUGCCCCAUUUCCUUCGGGGUGAAUUUGUCUUAUUUUUUUGUAGUUUCUAAUUCAGAUGCAUCAUUGACAAUAAGAUGAAGCUCAAGACCAAUGAAGAGAAUUUCUAGGAAAGACACCCAGAGAGGCUUCAAAGAUUGGGCAUGUCACUAAUUCCAAGACCAGUCCUUUAUUGCUAAAAACCAUUUGUGUUUUUGAGUCAAUGUUACCUCUUUUUGUGGAAUAGGUAAACUUGGUUUAAUUUAGUAGCAAUCCAUGACUUGUCAAGAAUUGGCAUUUUGUGACCAAACCUUCAACCUUAUGUCAACUAGCAUGCAGUUGCACGUUUAGUUGUCAAACCCUAGACAUGAACUAAAGAUUAGUUUCUAGUGUUUUGGUUCAACACUCCUACUGAUAGUAAACUUAAACAAGAAAUCAUUCAUCGUCAACCAGCUUUUUCUUGGGGUUUAUAUGGUGCAGUGGGCUAUAAAAUUUUGACUUUAAGAAGGGCUAGGCUCAUCAACCAUGAUUUGGUGCUUCCAAAUUCUGCAUCAGCUUCUUUGUACUCUGACAUAAUUUUGCUAGUCUGUUGGAAUAGGAUUGUGAUUUGAACACCUUUUCUCAGAAAAUAAUGAAGAAAGAAAGGUCACACUUGUUCUGCUUCAUUCCUAGAAGUUUCAAGAAAAGAAUGAGAAGAUUACAGUUGAAGAAUGUUAUUGAUAUCAGAAUUUUAACUGUUAUGCUUCAUCUUCCCCCCACUAUAUGUUAGUUUUGUCAUGUUUACACAUUCUGAUUUUCCCUUUUUAUGUUGCUGUUGGUGUUAUCCAAUUGGCACAGGAGGUGCUAACGUUGUCCUUUUUUUGUUCAGCCUUAUUUAGUUAGCAGAGCCUUGGAGUGCUAGGGGAAUGGACUUGAUGUUUUUGUCUUCUGUCAGCGCAUAUGAAUGAUGUUCAGGGGGCAAAAAGGUCCCAAUGCUCUUAAUAUAUUCAAAUGGAAAUGGCAAAAUGAAUCAUCCUUAGAAGCAGGAUUGCUUAAUGAUGUACCACCCGAAAUUGAAUUGUCUGACUACCACAGAGCACCAAGUCCUGGGAGUGAAAGCCCUUCGGGGCUUCUUAAUGGUGAUAGCUCAAGUGUUGAACCAAUUGCUGACUUGGACCUGUUCUUUGAGAGGGUUUAUAAUUACUAUUGUGAAAAAGGGCUUUGGUGUAUUAUAAUAAAGUGGAUAUUUGAGCUUCUGAGUCUUGCUUUCACCAUAUGCUUUUCUGGAUUUUUUUUACUGUAUGUUGAUUGGAAUGGCCUUCGAAAUGCAAAAUGUGGGAUGGAUGCAGUGGAAUCUGGAAUUAAGCCAUGCGAUCUGGCCAAGGAAGCCCUUCAUCAGCAUCCCUUGACGCCUUUUACGUUGGCAAAAGCUAUAAUUGUUGGUUAUUUGGGAAUAUUCUCUAUCUACUGGAUCUUUUGUUUCUUGAAAUUCUUUGCACAGUUGAAGGACACCCUGAAAAUCCGUCAUUUCUACUACAACAGGUACAUAAAAUUGUUUUACGUAAGAAUAUAGUUUUUCCAAUGUGAAGCAGUUUAUUUUUGGGGUUACAUCUAAUUUCUAUUACUUAAUGGUAAGAGACCUUUUCUAGUACAAUGUGGAUUCUUGAAAAAUUCUUUUGCAUCUCUUUUGCAGUUUGAAUGUGACGGAUAAUGAAAUAAAAACCUUGCCAUGGGCAUUGAUUCUUGAAAAGGUUGUUCAGAUCCAAAGGUCACAACAGUUAUGUGUAGUUAAGGACCUUUCUAUACAUGAUGUUGUAAUGCGACUGAUGCGGAAGGAGAACUACUUGAUUGGCAUGCUUAACAAGGGUGUGCUUGCUCUUCCUAUUUCUCCUUGGGUGCCUGGAGCUGGUCCAACUGUGAAAUUUGGUCCAAAUGGUGUGCGAUAUCGGUUGAUUCUAACAAAAACCCUUGAGUGGACCUUAAAUUGGUGUGUGCUGCAAAGCAUGUUUGAUCGGUAGUUCCCAUUACCUCUUUUCUUUUUCUUUUUUUUCCUUUUACCAAAAACUACUCAUAAGAUUUCAGAGUUCACAAGUAGGUUGAGCCUUCUGUUGAGCAUGCCAUUCAGUUUCCAUAUCUGAAUUUGAUUACAUGUUAUUAGGAUCGAUACUGUUGCAUCUUUAGUUCAACGAAUAUGCUGAAACAUUGACUGCUUUCAUGGUAGAUGAGAUCAUUAGUUGAUCAUACAUUCACUAUAAAUGCAAAGCAGAGUUUAUAGGUGCUACUGUAGGGACAAAACAUUCACAAAAUAUUAUUGUUUGUAACGUGUAUUGCUUUUUGAUACUUGUCAGCCAAGGCUGGAGCAUCUGCACAGGUUUGCAGCUUGUGUAAAGAAUGACGUCCUAUUAAUGACUAAGACAAAGCUCUUUAAUUGGCAUUUAUGACUGAAGUCACUGAUUGCACUGGAAAUUGAUACCUCUUAUGCUUUUCAAUGCUCUAAAUUUCAUUCCUCAGUUAACUUUUUGCAUCUUUAAUAACUGCAUUCUGAGUGGCAGCUCACAUGUUUUAUUUAUUGUUUACUUUUCGCUUACAUGUUUCUUAAUAUGAUGUAAGAGUAGUUUGUGGAAAGUUGCAAAAAAGUCUCUAUGUUGCUGAAGUUGACUAUGUUUUCUGAGCAAGAUAUCAUUUCUCUGCAGAAACUUCCGCAUCCGAAGGGAAUUUAUUUCUGACCCUAAAACAUUAAAGAAAAGGCUUAUGAUAGUUGGUUUUGUAAUGCUUCUCCUUUCUCCAUUUCUUGUAAUAUUCAUGCUGGUCUACCUCUUCCUGAGGCAUGCUGAACAGUUCUAUAAUCAUCCAAGUACAGCAUCAUCCCGAAGAUGGUCAAAUCUCUCAAAGUGGAUAUUUAGGGAAUUCAAUGAGGUAUUUUUUUGACAUCAUUUAAACGUCUUUUUUUAACCAUCUUAAGUAAUAGACUGUUAUCUUUCUUUUAUUUCUCUGGUUGCUGUUCUACUUUUGUUUCUAAACUUCUUAGUGUUGAAAGGGUUAGAGUGGAUAAAGAAUGACUGUAGUUGUUUCUUUUAGGCAAAAACCUUUUGGCGUUUGUGCCAGCACUUGGGAUAUUUUUGUAUACAGAGCCUCUGGCACUUUCUUAAAAGCUACAAGCAAUUGGGGAUAGUCUCUUUUAGGACAUCAGCUUUUCUUUAGAGGAUGUAAAGUUAUGGGAAAUUGAGCUUAUUUAUCAUAGAAAACUGUUUCUAGGGAGCAUUGUACCAUGAGGUGGAUGCUUGAUGCAGCACCAACCUGCUGGCAAGCCAACUGGUUAUUUAGAAAUGAUUCUUAAGGAUUAGAAUGCAGAGAAACUUAGGUAGCAAAGUGGGACUGGGAGAUCAGGAAAAAGGAAGAGGAAACUCUAGGAAUUAUUCCUAAGAACCUUUAGGCAGUGCAGCUUAGGGUAGAUUGCAUGACACAAUGACCAAGAAGACACUGAAAUCUGCAAGAUGUAUUAUCAACUCAAAUCUGUCUCAUUCGGGAGACAUGCUAGUAUGUAUAGGCUCCUAAACCUGUUUUUUACUUUUGGUAGAACUUACCUCUUUCCAAAUAAUGUUGGCCUUUUUAAAACUAAUAAUACCCUGAUAGGAUUCUUAUUUCGACUCUAAAUCAAGACAUUAGAUGUAGUAAAUACAAAAGUCAUAUUAAAUUCUGCAAAACUGCAAAUUGACCUAAAUGAUGUCAUUUUAAAAUUUGAAAGACUAGAAACCAUAUGAACUCUUCUACAAUUUUAUUAGUGAAGUACUCUUAGGGCAUUCCUGCUUCCAAACCAACAUUGUGUGUUCCAGUACUUGCCAAAAUAAUGUGCUCAUGGGAUAUAAAAAACCUUGCUUAGCUCUUAGGCAAAUUACUGCUUUCUCCUCCCCACCACCACCCCCCCCCCUCCUCGAAAAAAAAAAGUUACUUGUCUCGACUUAUGAAGCAAUUACUGUUUAAAAGUGUGGCUCCCCCCCCCCCCCCCUCUUUUCAAUAUCCUUUUGCCGAAUAUGCUAUCCUUUGAGUUUUCUGUUAAGUAUAAGUUCCACAGGAAAAGGUCUUUCUUUAUAGAUUAAGUAGUUGACAAGGUGAUGAAUAAAACCCGUUCACUAGUUUUUUUCUUUUUCAUUUGUUUCUUCUUCUUUUUCUCCUUUUUUCUUAUUUUUUCUGCUGGUUGUUCUCUUCAAGUUUUAUUCCCUCCCUUGCCUCACUUUUCCUCCUUUCCUUGCCCUAAGCAGCAUAGUGGUGAAUCUUCCCUGCCCUGUUACAUUAAUAUGAAUUUGAACUGAAAACUCUAAUAAAGUACCUUUUGGGGUAAAAGAAAAUUUUCAAACAGUUGGUGAGUCUGCAUGCUUAAUCACAUUGGAUAACUUCUAGUUCCUCCCCUCUCAAUGCUUCAUCAACAGCAUCGAUUCUGACGCCAAAUUUUGCAUAAUAUGCAUGGGCUAAUAUCCCAGGUCAACUAGUGGUUAAGGCUUCUUGUUUUGGCUUGAAUUCAAAUCUUGAUCUUCUUUUACGUUUCUGUUUAUCAGUUGAAUGUUUCUUCGCACACCUCCCUGGUACUAAUUCCCAAAAAUCAUGUUUAUGUUUAGCUAACUGUUUUGAUGGAUGUUAAGUUGCUUUGCAUUGGGUCAAAGUUCAAUUGAAUCAGAUCAGCAUUUUUUUCAUCGUUUUUAUUUUUGACAAAAAAUAGUUCACAUUGGAAACAUAAGAUAUAUUGCAUCUCUCUCUCUCUCUCUGUCUCUAUAUAUAUAUAUAUAUAUAUAUAUAUAUAUAUAUAUGCAUAUAUAUCCCUCUGCCUCCCUCUCUAAAUUGUCACGUAAUAUAUUUUUGGUUCUUUGUAUAAUAAUUUUUUCUUAUUCCCCAUGUUAUUAUUCCCACAUCACUUUAUCACAGAUUUGAUCUCAAGGUGUAUGCAAUGACUUGUAUUCUUUGUUUAUGGUCAUGGACACUCUGAACCACCUCUCCUAAGUCUUGCUUGUUUCUUAUAAAUUUUGAUUUAUCUCAGAUAUUUUUGUAUAGCGUAUUCAUGGUUAUUUGGAUCAUGUUGUGGAUUUUUUUUUGACAGGUUGAUCAUUUCUUCAGGCACCGGAUAAAUACCAGUAUUCUUCACGCUUCUGGAUAUCUAAAGCAAUUUCCAUCACCUAUGAUAUCAAUUGUUGCAAAGUUUAUCUCACUUGUUUCUGGUGGAUUUGCUGCUAUUCUCAUCAUCGUUGCGUUUCUCGAAGAAUCUCUGCUGGAAGGCCAUGUAAGGUCUUGUGCUUGUUGGAACAACUGUUUUACUGAUACUCUUCUGUUAAUGAUAGUUUAUUUAAAUGUGCAGAUAUUUGGUCGCAACUUGUUCUGGUAUGCUGCAGUUUUUGGUACUAUAACAGCUAUUAGCCGUGCUAUGGUGACAGAUGAACUUCUUGUCCUCGACCCUCAGGGGAUGAUGUCACUUGUUGUCCAACAUACACAUUAUAUGCCUAAGCGAUGGCGGGGAAAAGAGAAUACUGAGGCUGUGAGGAUGGAGUUUGAAACCCUAUUUCAGGUAUUCUUGAUUGUGCCUGUUGUACUUGAUAUAAGAGUCAAUUUAAAACUCCAGUCAUUCUAAGAUUAGACAUGUCAACUAAUUCAACUUUUAUGAGUUGGUUAGCGAGCUUGCUUGGUCUAGUUUCCCCUAAAUGUGAUGCUUUUAAGCCAUUGAUUGUAUGCUUUUCUAGAAACACUUUUACCUGCAUUAAUCAGCGGUUUGAUGAACGAUGUAGAUGUAAAGUGCUUAUGUAUUUCUAUUAACAUUUUCUAAAUGGACCAAUGAAAUUGCUUGUGCAGUACACAGGAAUGAUGCUGCUAGAGGAGAUGGCUUCGAUCUUUCUCACACCAUACUUACUUCUAUUUGUUGUCCCAAAGGUUUUAUUUUUAAGUUUUCAUAGUUAUAAUUUCAAUCAGCUACAUUGACUGCGAAAUGCUAUCGACGGCUAAGAUUUUUUAUUGAAUUCGAAAAUGCUAUUUUUGCAGCGGGUCGAUGAUGUUUUGCAGUUCAUUGUAGAUUUCACCGUGGAUGUAGAAGGUGUUGGUCAUGUUUGCAGGCUAGUGUCUUAACUUUAACCAUUACUUCUGAUACUUUUGUUCAGUAAAUUAGUUUGAAGAUUGCUUUAGUAUCCAAUUUUGCCUUUUUCUAUCAAACUGAAAUUUUCAGCACUUAAUUUCCUGGCAGCUUUAGUGUCUUUGAUUUUCAAAGUCAUGGCAACUCUAGAUAUGGUUCACCCUUUAAUGCACCUCGCCUCCAGAGGAGUUCCCAGGGAAAAAUGGAAAAAUCAUUCUUGAGGUAAUAGAAUAACCAUUCUGAUAAUGAACUUCUAUGUAAUAAUUGGGGUAUGUUUGCCAUUAUCUUCUGCAUAAUCAUCUUUUGGUUUAAAAUGUUUUUAUCUUUUCCAUAAUUAUCUGUUGGGUCUAGCUGGUUUUGAUUGGGCUAACUUGUUUUUUCCUUACCUGCAGCUUUCGCACUAGCUACCCUUCUUGGGAACCAAAUACUCCGGGCAAGCUCUUCCUGUCUGCUCUUGAGAGAUUCAGAGAGCAACAAUUGCAAGCGCAGGCACUGAGACCAGCAUAUGUCACUUCUAGAUUUCAGCAAUUCAGCCCAAACUACCGAGUUUUAAGCGAUAGAAAUAGCUACUUGUCAAGAGAAAUACCUGUCAACUAUUUAGGAACUGGUUAUCAGUUAAAUUCAAUGUUGCCAAUGGAUGGUGAGCAAAGGGACUACCCAUAUAUACUGGACUGGUUUUACACCUCACAGCCCCAGCAGUCCAAUGAUUUAAGAGAGGUUUCAUCAAGUUCUUCAGGCAUUGCUGAGGAAUGCAAUAACGACUUAUGGACUUCGCCUCGCCUGACACAAAACGAAGUAACAUACGAUGAAAAUUGGAGACACCUUCUUGAGGAUAGAGCACGCAGUCACCUUGAAGCUUCAACAUCAGCUCCUCUCUUUAAGGAAAGUGUGCUGCAACAUCACGAGUUGAACAAUGUUGCACACCCUACCACUAGCCACUGGUGGGCGCGAAGUCGGCCACAAGGUGCAGAUCCGCAGACUAGUUUUAUGGAGCCCCCAAAUUUCAACCGUGAAACAAGUCAUUACCACGAUAAUCUCUCCGAUAGAAGUUUAGAGGAACAGGAACACUUGGACUGGAGAAACUCAAGUAGGUUGUCUCGAACUUUCUUAAUGGAUGACGAUGGAGGGAAUUUCAAUCUUCCAUUUGAUGAUAUUUAUACAAGGCAUUCUCAAAGCUCCCGAGAGAAUUUGGAUCCUGCAGAUAUUGUCUGAUUUACUCUCUUAUAGCAUACGGUCUAAGAUCCAUUGAAAUGGACUGUUUGGGGUAUAGAAGGGGGUUGGCUUUCUUCCCAGGACUGGUGCUCUCUAUUCUUUGUUGUAUAUAAUUUGUUAUAUAAGUUGAGACAGCAGAUAGGCCUCUGAUUGAUUUGGAAGGUCGAUGUGCCAAAGUCACCGUUGAUCCCACCAAAUUUGUUAAAUAACCAACCUAUUGAUUCAUAUGUCCCCCACUCAAUGCAAAUGAAAGGUAGUUGGGUACUUUGUUCUUGCCUUUUAUGCUUGGAAAAUAGGUAGGAAACUUUAAUGGAUUGCACUCAAAAAUGGUGUUUAUUGAACAUUGUUAUUCAUUUGAUUCUGUUGGUCAAAUUAAGAAAUGAAUACUUGUGUAUAUAGGGUGGUUCUACACUAGAAUGGGCUUCUUUGAUGUGUGUGUUGCUUCCAACCGUAAUUGCCAAACCAUGUAAAAUAUAGAUAUUAUGUAUGAGACAUAAGUUCAUUUUUCGUGUUGAUAAAAUUCAAAGAACAAAAGGAAAUAAAUUAUAAAUCAAGGAGUGUAUGAUUUUUUUUUUUUUAAAUUUUGUCAACAGAGGGAGGGUCGAAAUUUAAAAAAUGAGGGCGUGAAUAUAGAAUCUCUAAUUUUUAGAGUUUUAACUUAGUCAUUAGACCAAAAUUUCUUAACGACUACAUAAAUUAAGGUCUUUUUAACGAAUACAUGAUUCAAUUGACUGAUAAGGUCAAAAGAUAGAAUUUUAUUCCAAGGUUAGGAAUUUAGAGGUGCAAACGAGCCGAACUCGAGUCGAGCUUUGGCUAAUCGAGCCGAGUUCGAGUUAAUUUUGUGAAGCUCGAAUUCGAGCUCGAGCUCGAGCUUAAAAAAUAAAAAAAUAAUAAUUAUUAUUUUAUUUUUAAAAAAUAAAAAAUAAUUAUUUAUUUUUAAAAAUGAAUAAAAUAAUAAUUUUUUUAAUAAAUAAUAAAAUAUUAGGGAUAUAUAUAUAAUUUUACUAUUAAAAUAAAAAAUAAAAAAUAAAAAAAAAUAUAUAUAAUUGAGCUCGCGAGCGGACGAGUUUAAUGUUUUUGAACUUAAUUAGCUCGAACUCGAUAUUGACGAGCUCGAGUCGAACUCGUAUUCGAGUCGCUCGCGAGCGGCUCGAUUUGCGAAACACCCCUAGUUGGGAUAUACACAUUUAACAAACCAUUGAACACAAGUUUAGGGACCAAAUAGGCUUUCCGCAUUAAAUUUAUAAGCCUUCGAUGUAAGUUUUGAGGAUCUUUACAGUAACUUAUUGAUAAAUAUUCCCAUUAUAUUAACGAAGACUUUAUAAAUGAAAAUCACUUCUAGAUUGCUAGUUCAUAGAAUUGCCUACGAUACUUAUUAGCCCUCCAAUUCGCAUCCAACUAGUCAAAAAAAAAAAAAAAGUUUAUACUCCAUUUAUGAACGCGAACUAAAAGUACAAUCAUUGGUGAUAGGUAAACUUUUUUCUUUUUUCUUUUUUUUUCCCAUAAGAGAGAUAGUAGUACUAACGUAAAAAUUGACAAGCCUUGCAAAGUUGACAGGAUCAUAGCACAAAUUCAUAAUUGAACAAUUUUAAUUUUGAAACUAAUGCUAACGGUCUAUAACUUGUAUAUAAAAUUCUAAUUUGAAAGUAAACUGAAGAGAAAAUUCAAGAUAAACCAUGAUGAUAUUUUCAACAUUUGUGAGGCAUGGGAGAAAGAACCUCACACCAACAAAAAAGGAAAUUAAUAACUCGAUAUUGUCCAAUUUUUUUUUUUAAAAGUAAACAAAAAAAAAAAUAAAUGAACCAACUCACACAAACCUAGGCCUUGUUUGGCAGACAAGUUUUUUUGUCAAGUUUGUUUGCUACAAGUUUUUUAAAAACUUUAGUUACAAUAACCUCAAAAAACUUCUCAAAGUUUUUAAACUAUACACUUCAAAAUAUAAAAAAACACACUUCAAUUUUUUUUUUUUUUUAUAAUUUUUACAGUAAGUUACAGUAAAGUUUUAGACAAAUGUCCAAAAAAUUCAAUUGUCAAACGGGCCCUAAUUUCUCUAUUUACAUUGACAAAGGAUUGGAGCAUAAGAAAGAAGAAUUUACCAAAUUAAUUACUCAAUUGUUUCAACCCUACCACAUUUGGGCAGGUUGGGCCAUUGAUUCAGUGCCCAUUUUGCUUCUAAUUGACAUAAUCAGGCAUCCAUGCAAAAGAGAGAUUUCUCAAUUCUACCUUUUAUCAAGGCAACUACUUCACAUAAUUAUACCAAAAAAAAAAACUUUAAAUAAUUAACAAAACAUUUCCUGCUAACUAUCUUCAUUAACAGAACUUCAACUAAAGUAGAUAUUGCUUUCGAAAACAUUAUCUACAUAAAAAAAAAACUAAAUGUUCAUGAUUUAGGGCUAUGGUCAAAUGGGAUUAAUUUUCUUGAAUUGAUCUGCUCCUUUAACACGAGAUGAGAUUAGCUCUUGUAACUUAUAAAAUAUGCUUUGAUUUAACCCCAAAUACAAAGGAUCAAAAUGGUGAAUUUAUUCAAUUCUCCCAUUAUUCCUCUUUUAAGUUUUCGUCAAUUAUUCUACAUUGGUCAUAUUUUGUAAGUUAGCUGAUUAAAUUGAUACGAGUAAGAGACCAAAUUGAAUAAGACCUCUAGAAUAAGAAAUUGGAGCAGGGACAAUUGCUAGAGUAAACAUCUCUAAAUGGUUAAAGGACAAAAUUGGUCCAAAAAGUAACGUAAGGCUCAAAUUACACCAUGUACAUCGUUUUCAAUGUCACUUGUGGAGUUUACAGAAAUUUGUUCUAUAUUUACUUCGUGUACAAAGUAAUUUAUAUUCUACACAAAUAAAUAUACAUUCUUUGUUGAAUUAGGCAAAACCAUUCUGAAACCGUUGAACUCUCAACUGUCUCAGCCACUCCCCACAAAAUAAUGGAAGAAUUGAUAAUUUUCUGCAAUGCCAAAAAAUUUCACCUUCAAAACUGUCCAAGCCUUUGGAAUUGGCUUACAAACCUUUCGCGUUGAUGCCAAAUAUAACAUCUUAGACUUUCUGUUGCAAUGUUGAAAUAUAUAGCAAAUCUAUUAAAUCAUUCAUAUAAAAGUUUGAUAACUUUCAUUAUUUUCCCGUACAACAGCACUGCUGAAAAUUGAAAUAAGCAUGUUAGCUUAACUAAUUACUUCUAUUCUGGUCAUUACUUAAUCACUUCCUAAUAUCUGUCUUUCCAACUUUACCCUGGAUAUCAUGCACGUUGACAUGAAUCAUGAUAUUCUACAUGAAUUUGGCUGGGAUCUAGGCGUUUGGAAACAAACAACUAUGGUGUACAAUAAUUUAAUAACAAAUAAGCUGCAAGUGUGAAAAUAAACAACACACAAGAUUUAAUGUGCUUCAGUUUCAUAAUUGUGGCUACAUCCAUAGAGAGCACCAAUUCUUUAUUAUAAGAGAAAAAUUUCAUACAAUAAUACAAUUUGAACCCAAAUCUAAUUCUUGUAUAAUUUUUCUCGCCUCCCAAGAACUCUUUCAUGCCCACCCCAUGUAGAAGGUUGCAUUAUUUGGCCAACACCUAGGUAAUAAUAGGAAAUAACUACUAAUUUCUAAUCUUAUACAGAAUUGGAAAUAACUACUAAUUCCUAAACUCAUAAAAAUAGGAAAUUCCUAAACUACUACUUCAAGUAACUAAAAUAAUUAGGAAGCUAGUUACUUUCACAUAAAAUAAGAAACCCGCCUAAAGAAAUUAAACCAAUUUUCUAACAAAUUUAUUAACAAUGAUUAAAAUAGCCUUUUUUUUUCUUCUUGCUUAUUUAUUUAUUGGCCCAAAAACUGAUAUCGCCUAGAUUGGUGAAACUAGGUUCCUCGCAAUAUUGUUGUCUCGAUUUUAGUUGCUUUUACACCUGGCAAAACAUAAAUUGCUAAUACAUUUUGUAAGAAAAUUUUGAUUUGUUAACUUUUAGAUGGAAUUGAGAUGCAUUAUGCCGAAUCAAAUUCUAAGUUAGUAGGUAAUUAUUGAAAUAUGUAAAUAGUUGGAGUUGGAACGAAUGCAGUAAUCAAAUGCAUUGUUUAAAAUCUCAUAGUUUACUAGGAAGGUUUCCUUAUUUUAUGUGUUUGAUUUCAAUUGAAACUUUCUUUAUUCUUCCCUUCAUGCUUUUGUUUAGUUUCUUCGUAUGGCAAUAGAUAGAUUCCGUAUCUAGGGAUCCUUCGAUGCACUGCCUAUAAAUUAAACAAUGCACCAGGGUUUUUCUCAUUGAAGUCCAAUUUAAGGGUUUGUCAAGUUUUUCUCACUUAGUUCCAACUAUGGGGCUGUCAAAAAUUGUAGCAAUUUUCUUCUGGAUUUUGGCUACUUUGGGUAGUUCCAUGGCUGAAAAUUACCACGGUAUAUGGAGCAUCAAUGUUACCAAGUCGACUUCCAUGAAGAAGGUUGAAGUAGGUGACAAUCACGGUAAGUAUGUGAGAAUGUGUAUACAAUAAUAGGAUUAAUAUUCUUUUACAUAAAUUUAUUGUGUAAAACUUUUUUCACAUAACCACCAUAACAUAAUUUUCUUGUUUGAUUAUUCAACUUGACUUUAAAUUCUGAUUUCAUGUAAUCAGUUUUUUUUUUUUAAAUAAUGUUUACGUUUCUUUUUUUUUCAUCUUGAUUUCAAAAUUUUUUAAUGGCCAAAAAAAAAAAAAACUAAAAUUUAGAUUCUAGGCAAGAGUAACUUUAGUUGAUUGUGAUUUUUUUUCCCUCUAAAAUCACCAUCCAUCAUCAACCUUUUUUUUUUUUCCUUUUUUUUUUUUUUGGAAAAUUUACAACAAACAAGAACGGGCCCUUAAUUCUGACUGUGUAACAUAUAUAUGCAGUUAUCAAGAAUGGUCCAAGUUCAGACACUGCAAUAUUGCAAGAGAAGAAAGAUGAUUACGAGUCCUACAAACCAUCACCGCCAAUUGCCUCCUACAAUGACAAGAACAAUUCUGCAAAUUAUUCAUCUGAUGGAGAAAAUUAUUUCACCAGUCGUAAGGAUCAUGAUGAUGAUGAUGAUGAUAACCAAGACGAAGACGACCACAAACACAAGCACGAUAAAGAUCACAAAGGUCAGAUGUGUUCUUGUUCUUGUGGUGCCCCAUCAAUUCCUGAUGCUCCUAUGAUUCCUAAUGCUCCAUCAAUCCCAACUUCUGACUGUUCUACGAAGGACACGCUUGGGCUAACAUUUAUUCUUGUUGGUCUUUUAUGUUUCCUCUAAUUUUGGAGGAUCUCUGGAAAGAAACAGACUAGUCGUUAAGAAGUUUGUGAGCCAGUACUAUCUACCUAAUAGGUGUGAAUUAGAUGAAGCAGUACAAGUCCACUCCAUAAAAAAAGUUGAAGUUUAUAUAGUUGUUAUUCUAUUUUUAUGGGCUGGUGGGUCGUAGUUCUUGAUGUUAUUGGUUGUUCUUGAUGCUAUUUUGAUUCCAAUAUAGCAGUAAUUAUAUAUUUACGUAUGGCCUUUUCUAUUCUGUGGCUACUUGAAUUACAAUUAGCAGUGUGGCUAUAAGAUAUUAAACAUGUGAUUGUGUCGAAUGGCACAUGAUAAGCACACUAAGAAAAGGGAAUAGAUUUACUAUAAAAUUUUAAUAUUAUCGUGCACGUGUAUACUCUAGUAUUAUUUAUGCUUUUACAGAUAACAUAACAUCGGAUCCACUUUGUAUCUUGUGUUAGAAGAAUCAUGAAUAUACUUUAAUUAUAGAAUUUUUGUCUUUGAAUACAUUUUUUUUCUUCGAAUGUAUAAGUAAGUCUUAAAAACUUGCAGCAAUAAGUUUGUAAGAGACCAAUUGUGAGAUGGUUCAAAUUUGGUUAACUCUACGUCUCUAUUUUUGUCCCCAUUUCUUUUCUUUUCUUUUCUUUUUAACCUUUUUCCUUUUUGUUUCCCCUGCUCUUUCUUUGUCCUGCUUUGAAUCUAACUCACAAACCAUAAAAAUAAGAACAUAUUUUACUACCCACAAAUUAUGUCAAGAUUUUAUUAAUUACUUGUUUGGCAUCUUUACGUCAAUGUUCUAAAAAUCUGAUGCCAAGAAAGCAGGCUACCUUUUUCCAAUGGUUUGCAUUUUUUAAAAGUUAUUUCUAUUUACCAAAUAGGCACACAAAAAAAAGGAAGGUGAGUCCACUCUUCAAUCUUCAGAAUUACUACCCACCCCCAUAAUUGCAUCACUUUCACAACCAAAAUUUGCCCUUUUCUUAAAAAAAAAAAAAAAAAAAAAAACUAACACUGACUUACUUCUUAUUUGGUGUCUUCAAAUAGACAAAUCCUUUUUUUAAAUCAGAGCUUAGACUCAAGUCAAGAAUACAAUACUCAAAUCUUGAUCAAAGGUUUUUUUUUUUUGUUUUUUUUCUUGUGCUUCAGUUGCAAUUUUUCUACCUCAGAUGACGAUUGAAAAGGGCUAUGGGAGUUAAAUAGUAAAUUGAGAAAUGCAAAUAAUAAAUUACUUCAAUCCUAUUUUCUUGUAAUCAACUGGCUAAUCCAGUGAUGCAGAAAGCAUGCAGUAAAGAUCAAGAAUCCUUAACUCCGGAAUUGCAAGAUAAUGGAGCAACAAUUCGUAAGCAUAAGAAGUUAUUGUAUUGAUGAUGAAUGGAUAGAGAAAUGUACAAAAAUGAAUGAGGAAUUCUUAUUACAAUCCAGAUCAUCCUUUUCCUUCUCCUAUUUAUACAGCCAUUGAGGCGGUGGCCAUUUUCCUGACUAACUAAUGGUGUCAGCAACCUAUAAUAUGCUAACUAUGUAACAAACUAAUUGACAGCUCAGCACUGGUAGUUAUUCAAAAUUACAGAUUACCCUUGACUAAUUUUGUUAACCAUUUUCACGUGCAUCAAUUGCCCCUCCUUAGAAAGUCCUUGUCCUCAAGGACUGAAAUGAGGGAAUUGUCGCCGAAGAUCUUGCAAACACUCCCAAGUAGAAUCCUCUGGAAAACAAUUACUCCAUUGAACCAGAGCUUGUGUUGCUGCAGUUCGACCCCUUCUUGCUCUACGUCUGUCUAGAAUUGCUAAAUGCUCUAUCAUAAGUUGUCCCUGAUUUGUCACUCCAACAGGUAUAUGAGAUUGAACUGGAACUGACCCCACCUUCUUUUUUAACAUAGAAACAUGGAAAGUGUGAUGAAUCCGAACAUGAGCUGGAAGUUUCAAUUUGUAAGCAAUUGAUCCCACCUUACUUCUAUUAGGAAAGGCCCAAAAUAACGAGGAGCUAGUUUCUGACAAUGGUGAGCUCGUAAAGAAUGCUGCUUGUAUGGUUGCAAUUUAACAUAAAUCCAGUCAACAAUGUUGAACUACUUAUCAGUCCUAUGCUUAUCUGCUAGUUGCAUCAUCCUAUGUUGGGCUUUAGCCAAAUUUUGCUUAAGCUGAUGUAUCAGCAUCUCUCUAGCCAUAAGGCUUCUAUCUACUGAUUCAACUGUAGCUGCUUUAGGUAGGUAUGGUACAUGAAUGGUUGGUGCCUGAUCAUAGACCACUUCAUAGGGGGUGAAUUUGGUACAGGUGUGAAAGUUGGUGUUGUACCAAUAUUUUGCAAAAGUUAACCGCAGGCUCCACUGCAUAGGUUGAUCACUGGUCAUACAUCUUAGGUAUUGCUCGAGACAUCUGUUUAACCGCCUCAGUUUGUCCAUCACUUUGAGGGUGAUAUGAAGUAGACAUGUGUAACUGCACCUGCUGAAGCUUGAAAAGCUCCUGCCAAAAAUUGCUAAGAAAUGUAGUAUCCUUGUCACUCACAAUGGACUGGGGCAUACCAUGCAAACGAUAAAUCUGAUCCAAGAACAGCUGAGCCACAGUGAUAGCUGAAUAUGGAUGAGCUAAAGCCAAGAAAUGUGCAUAUUUGCUAAGCCUUUCCACCACCAAUAAAAUGACAUUUUUUUUUCCCUUGGAUAAGGGCAAACCUUCAAUGAAAUUCAUGAAAAUAUCUGUCCAAACCUUGUGUAGAAUGGGUAGUGGUUGCAAAAGACCAGAAUAAGAAGAAUUCUUUAGUUUGGAUCUCUGAUAGAUAUCACAAGCUACAGGAAAGUUGGCAACAUCACUGAACAAAUGUUUCCAAUAGACCACACUUUUCAGUCUUUUAUAAGUCACUUCCACUUCUGAAUGACCACCUUGUGCACUAGAAUGCCAUAAUUCGAUCAAUUUAUGCCUCAAGGCUAAAUCAUCUCCAAUUACCAACUUGCCCUUCCUCUUAAGAAACUCCUGACUCCAUGUAUAUUGCCUAUGGCACUGGUGCCCUACAAACAAAUUCUGAAUAAUAUCAUGCAGUUGCUUAUCAUUCUGCCAGCUAUUUUGGAUAUCAACAAUCAAAGAGGAAGUAAAGGUGACCAAGGAAUGCAACUGUCCUUUUGCAUAAGGUCUCCUGGACAAGACAUCUACAACAAUGUUGUCAUUGCCCCUUUGUACUGCACUGCAUAAUCAUAUUCCAUCGGCUUAGGUAUCUAUUUCUGUUGUAAAGGGGUGUGAAUCCUCUGUUCCAGAAUGUACUUAAGGCUCUGAUGAUUAGUUCUGACUAUAAAAUGUCUGCCAACCAAAUAAGCCCUCCAUUUCUGUAUAGCAGUCACCGCUGCUAGCAUUUCUUUUUCGUACACAGAUAAGGUCUGAUGAGUUGGAGACAGUUCCUUGCUAAAGAAAGCAACAGGUCUUUUCCCUUGCACUAGGAUUGCCCCAAUCCCAGUUCUUGAUGCAUCAGUCUCAACAGUGAACACUUGAUUAAAAUCUAGCAAUGCCAGUACAAGUGGAUUACUCAUGGCUUGCUGCAAUUACUGAAAAGCCUAUGUUGCUGCAUUACUCCACUGAAAUUGGUUCUUCUUAAGUAACUCAGUCAAAGGCCUGGUGAUUCUCCCAUAAUGUUGCACAAAACUUUUGUAAUACCCUGUGAGGCCCAGAAAACCCCUUAGUUCCUUGACAUUCUGAGGUAUAGGCCAAGAUUAGAUAGCUGCUAUCUUUUGGAGAUCUGCCUGUACUCCUUCUGAAGUAAUCACAUGUCCCAAGUAAUUAACUUGCUGUUUUGCAAAAGCACACUUACUCAAUUUAACCUUUAAAGUAUUAGCUCUCAAGGUUUCAAAAACCUUCCUGAGAUGUAUCAUAUAAUCCGCCCAUGUUUGACUAUAUAUCAAUAUAUCAUCAAAGAAGACUAGCAAGAAUUUUUUGAGAAAGGGCUUGAAAACAUCAUUCAUGAGAUUCUGGAAAGAAGAGGGAGCAUUUGUGAGACCAAAUGGCAUAACUAGGAAUUCAUAAUGACCAUCAUGAGUCUUGAAAGCUAUCUUAUGAAUAUCUUCUGGGCACAUUCUAAUUCGAUGAUAACUAGAUCUAAGAUCUAGUUUAGAAAAAUAUUUAGCACCAAUCAACUCAUCCAGCAAUUCUUUACUCAGCGGAAUUGGGAAUUUGUUCUUGGUAGUAGCUUGGUUCAGUGUCCUAUAAUCAAUACACAUCCUCCAUGAGCCAUCAUUCUUCUUAACCAGCACAACAGGUGAUGAAUAAGGGCUUGAGCUUGGCCUGAUAAUGCCACUUUCAAGCAUCUCAGUAACCAAUCUUUCUAUUUCCCCCUUCUAAAAGAUUGGAUACCUAUAAGGUCUGACACUAAUAGGGUGAGUGCCUUCCUUGAGAGGUAUUCUAUGAUCAUGUAGCCUUUUUGGUGGCAAUUCUGUGGGUUCUUGGAACAAAUCAUCAUAUUCCUUUAGCAACUGAUCUAAUGCAGAACCUUCUUGUGUCUGAUCACCUUUAUGUGUAGCAGUUACAGUAAGAAUUUCAGCAUUUUCUUUAGUGUGAUCAACAACUGCCCUGAUCAGGCAUAGUUGGCUAGCAGCAAUUUGUGAAGGUUUUUGCAAAACUUGCUGCAUUUUUUCUUCUUGAUCAACUGCAAUCCCAAUUGCUUGAUUCCCCUCAACACUACUCUGUGACCAUUCUGCAGGAAUUCCAUUUUGAGUUCUCCAAAAUUCCACUUAACAUCUCCAAUAAUGGUCAACCACUGAAUUCCCAGAACCACUUCACACCUUCCCACUGAUAGUACCAGUAGAUCAGUUUUGAACUCUUGUCCUUGCAUUUUCUAGACAAAAGUUGGGACACAAUUCAUGAGUGGUAAGCUUAUUUCCAUCCGCAACCUACACCACCAAAGGUUUACCUUCUGUACUUUUAACCCCAACCUCUGUAUCACAUUAGGGUGGAUGAAGUUAUGAGAACUACCAGAGUCAAUGUGUAUAUUCACUAAUUGUUUGCCCACAUGGCCUGUGAUCAUCAUAAUUCUGAAAUUUGGGACUGCCAUGCUAGUCAUAACAUUGAUUGAAAUGUGUGCCAAAUUUCCUCCCCUAGCUUCUCUAUCAUCAACUUCCUCUUCCACGGACUCAUCCCCCCUUUCUUCAUAAACAUCCCCCUGGUCAUCCCAAAUCUCCAAUCUAUGGAACUGUUUAUUACCACAUCUAUGCCCCAUGCCAAAUUUUUCAUCACACCAAAAACAUAAUCCCUUAGCCCCUUUAUUAUCCAUUUCUGCUCGAGUUAGCCUUCUGUGAGGUCUUUUUUCCAACUCCUCAUUACCCUUCCCAAUACUAGGCAGAGCAGGUACAGAAGAGGUAGGCAAUAGGGGCCAAGCAUUCUUCCUCCAUUGGUGAUUAGAAGUCCCAGCAUGACUAUUAUUCUUCCAAUAAUGGCUAGAAUUAUAGGUUUGAUGCGUAUUGCUAACAAGAUCUGAGAGAUUAGGAGAUACCUUCUUGUUCACUUUGGCUUUCUAUUGCAUAAUUAGCCUUGCCUCCUCUAUCUUUGCAAGCGCUGACGAGGUUAAAAUUUACCAAUUAAAUCAACUCACAAGUUAUAACCUAAUACCUCGUUUUGCUGCAAGUAUACAGAUCGAAAUAUAGUAUAGCAAAGGUACAAGGGUCGAAUCCCACAGGGAGCAACUUAACAAAUACCAGAGUUUUAAACCUUAUCUUAUUAUCUAAACUUUUCAAAUUAUGUGUUGAUCAAAGAAUUAAAAACAGAUUAAGUGCAUGAAUCCCAACUAACAAAUAUGUCAAAAGAAAAGAUGUUCUAGGGGAAUUAAAUCCACUAGCUAGUAAAGAUCAGAUUUGCCAUGUACUUUGUAGUCACAAUUCACUCUUGUCUUGGUAGGGAACAUUUCCAAAUGUAUACUUAUCUCACUGUUGUGCAGAAAAGCUUUGUCACGAUCACUAGGUUCCACCUACUGUCGUGGUGAAAAUCAACCAGUGAUGAUCUUAGGCCUUUGUGAAAUAUUAUGAAAAACCCUUCUAGUGAUUCACUACUGUCGUGUGUUUCAUGCUAGAAUUCAAUUAAUCUUCUUUCCAUUAUUGUUUACCACUGUCGUGCGAUCACAAUAACUGAUAUAAUUUGCAAAAGAUGAUCAAGCUUUAACAAAUGUGAAAGUCAAGAUUAAUGAAUUACCAAGAACAAGGUUAGUGAAAACUAGCAGCAUACAAAUCCAAAUCUUGCACCAACCAGUUUCAUCUACCCGUAGAACAAAGGAUAGAUCUAGCUAGUUAGACAUGAUUAUCAAAAUACUCCAACUUCUAAUAAAGUAGAAGAAGAGUUAGAAAUGAAGGAAAAAUGGAAGAGAAAGCUCAUAUGCAAAACUGACCAUAGAAAAGCAAUUAAAACCAAUCCGAUUAGGGUGGUAGAACCGACCCUAAGUGGUGGUAGAUAAAAGCUUAAUUCAAUUACAGAAUAAACAAACUCUCCAACUCUUUAAGCACUCAAGCUUUGAUAAUCAAACCAGCAAGAAGUGUAUUUAUAAAGAUAAAAACUAGAACAAGGUGUUUAGAAAUAUGAAAACUAAUAUCUAACAGAGCUAAAAACGAAACUAGCUCAAAGAGCUUUAUUGAAUCUGAAAACUAAUCUAUUCUAAGCUCUCUAUCUACUAACAAAGGUUGGCCAAAAAAAAUCCCCAUUGUUCUUGAAUUGUAAGGGGUAUUUAUAGGUGUUUGGAUGAGUUUAAGACAAAACUUAAAUUAUCAUCCAUGACCUCAUUGCUUAAUUAUUGUCAAGAAUCUUCAAAAUCGCAGCUGCAAAUUCAACUAAAAUACACAAAAAGUUUUCAAGAAAAGUUGCACAUGUAUCAAAGUCAGGAUUUGCUGCUGGAAUUUCUUUUUGACAGAUUGCAUGAAUUAUUUCUCCAUGAAAACGGCAGAAUCUACUCUUGUGCUAGUCUUGAAAGUCGUACCUCUUUGAAUUAUCUUUCCAUAGCAUCAAGAAUCAUCCCAUUUGGACUUUUGUAGGCUGAGAUAUGGUCAAAAUACCAUCCUCUGGUCAAACCCCUGUUUCAAUUUCCGACCACAGAAUGCAGCUUCUGUAUUUCGACUUUUUGUCUAUGAAAACAGCAGAAUUAUAUUUCGAUGUCUUCAUACCAAUUGUAGGUCUCUUUCUUAGCUUUAAAAUGGUAUAAAGAUCACCUCAAUCCGAUAAGUAUAGCUCCAGAUAUAGCCAAAAUACCGAAGAAUGUCAAAACUGUCUUGACUUGCAUUUUCUCACUUGAACAUUUUUCACUUCAUUUCUCUUUUCUACCACUUGAAUUCAUCACCAAUUAUCUACUUUUCACCUCAUUUGACAUCUUUUGGUGAUUGGAUCAUUAACCUGCAAGAAAAUGAAGUUUUUACCAUUAAAAUCAAUAGAAAUGCAAUAUUAUCCACUUUUACCAAAAAUAUAUAAUUUUACCAAAAACCUCUUUAUUUUAAUUAUAAAACUAAAUAAUCAACUGAAAAUUAACUAAUAAAAUGCACUUAAAAAUACGUAAAAUAAACUCUUAUCAAGCGCCCUCACAUGAGCCACGUUCUUAGGCAUGAACAUCCUAACAGUCAGCUGAAUUUCUGGUUUUAAUCCACUUAAGAAGUAGCUUGUUGCAUAAUCUUCAGGUAAAUCUAACGUAUUGAGUAACUCUUCAAAUUGUUCUUGGUACUCUAACAUAGUACCAGUCUGUUUUAAUCCCUUUAGUUCUCCCAUUGUGUCAUCAUAUAGAUAAUCUCCAAAUCUUGCGGAUAAUUCUCUGAUAUACUCCUCCGACGAAGGUGCCUCUCGAGCCAACCUGGACUUCCAUGUAAACUUGGUACCAUUGAAGAGCCGUACCCUCCAAAUUCACAGCUGCCAUUUUAACCUUCAAAGCAGGUGGAGUUUCAUCUACCUCAAAGAACUGCUUGCUCUUAUACAGCCAACCUCUGAAAUAUUCCCCGUUGAAUUUGGGGAAAUCCAUUCUAGAAAAUCGUGUUGGAAUCUGAUAGUUACCUCCAUUAACCCCAAGAGACCCAGAAUUUUAAGGAGAAGAAUUCAUGUGAUCCAGAUUAACCACCAGGUUCCUUAGUGCUGUCAUUUCCGUCUCAAGUUGAUCUUGUUGCUCCCUCAACAUGGCCUUUAUGUGCUCUUCAAGUUUUCUGUUAUCAUGUGAUCUAUUGCCUUCUACCAUCUCUGACCUCUGAGCUAGAUAACCCCGCUUUAAUACCAUUGAUGCAAAAAGCAGUAAAGAUCAAGAAUCCUUAACUCAGGAAUUGCAAGAUAAUGGAGCAACAAUUCGUAAGCAUAAGGAGUUAUUGUAUUGAUGAUGAAUGGAUAGAGAAAUGUACAAAAAUGAAUGAGGAAUUCUUGUUACAAUCCAGAUCAUCCUUUUCCUUCUCCUAUUGCUUCCAUUUAUACAGCCAUUGAGGCGGUGGCCAUUUUCCUAACUAAUUAAUGAUGUCAGCAACCUGUAACAUGCUAACUACGUAACAAACUAAUUGACAUCUCAGCACUGGUAGUUAUUCAAAAUUACAGAUUACCCUUGACUAAUUUUGUUAACCAUUUUCCCAUGCAUCAUGCAAGAACAUUGGCAUUACUUCCCGAAGAGGCUAAGUAAUAUCUUAAAUUUCACAGCAAUUUUUAAAUUCACUCCUAGGAAUUUAGUUGCAACUUUCUAAGUAACAAUUCUACAUUCAUGUGAUAUAGGAAUUUAUUAAGCCUCACCCAUAUCCCAAAGUUGCAGGGCCAGUGCAGUUGUGAUUUGGGCUGUGCGGUGUUAUGUUUAUUCUAUUAUUUCAUGUAUAAUUAUAUUUAUCAUUGUAUCUUAAAAGAACAUGAGUAUAUAUAAAUAAAAUAUUUUACAUAUAUUUAAUACAACAAUAUGAUAUAAUUAAAGAUAAAAAAAAGGGUUUGAGUCAAAGAAUCACGUUAUCGUUUUAAUACUUAAAUAGGGGUUUUUAUAAAGGCAAUAUACGCCUUAUAGUAUAGUGAUAAAUUCUACCCUUAAUUGAUGACGCUUCUAUCAUGUCACGCAAUAUUAUUGGUGAGCAUAUUAUAGUCUCUAAAAUUUUCUCCAAGUUUUCAUUAAUUAUUCAAUAUUAUUUCUUUUACUAAACAAAUUAAAUUAGUUUGUUAACCAUAACUGUAUAUGGGACCAAAUUGAACGACACCUCAAAAUUAAGUUAUAUGUUCUUUUACUUUCAUAUGUCACUAUUUUUGUAGAUAGUUCUGCAGCAAAUGCAAGGGGAGCAAUUAGAAGGAAUUGAGAGGCAAGAAAUGUUGCAAACUGCACAGAGUCUUCCUAAUUUGUGCCGAAUCAAAAAAGCACAGCCUUGUAAUGUACCUACCAUCUUUGGCUUCAUUUUAGGGCACUUCUAUGCAAAAUAGUCUAAUGCAAAAUAAUCAAGUACUAAAAUUCACCGCUUUAAUUUGACAUUAGAGAUUUUGGUGACACGAGACAUGAAAUAAACAAUUCUUAUGUGUAUUUACAUGAGAAUUUGAACUAGUUAGCAUCUUAAUGGUGCAAUAUCACGUAAGAAUUAUUUGGUUACAUUGUCAUCUUUUCAUUUCUUUUCCUUUACUUUUUCUUGAAGGCCCAAGUGCUUGUUUUCUUGCUGUUCAUUUGAAAUUAUAUAUCACAUAGAAAAAUUGAUGCAUGCCCACUAUUACCUCUGCCUGCAGUGAAGUUUCAAAUUUCGGAAGUAGCCACAACAAUAACAACCCUAGCCAUUUAAUGAAGAGAUAAUAAGGCCUUAAGCUUGUUUUUGGUCCCUCUAACCAAAAAAAAAAAAAAAAAAAAAAAAAAAAACCAUGUUCGAGCCUUAACAGCCCUAAACACUUCUUAAGCUCCUCUUAGUAUUUAGUAAAGCCCUUGCAUGGGCAAGAAUUAGUGUACAUUUAGGGGGUGAGGAAGUCCACUGCAAACAGGUCCCCUCUUGCACCAAAAUCAUACAAGAGAUUGCAAUAGUGUUUUAAAACUCAGUUUGAACCGGCCAAUGAGACCGGUUAAACCUUCAACUAUAAAACUUGUUUGAACCGGCCAAUGAGACUAGUUAAACCUUCAACCAUUUUGCUUUCCGGUUCAUUGCAGUCCCUUAAAUUCACUUGUGUCUGUUUAUUUACGUAGAAUCCGAAAAAAAAAGAAGAGCCAGUUCAACUGUUAAAAUUCACUUUUGUAAUGUGUUUAUUUAGCUAAAUUUAUAAAAUAAAAUAAAAAAAAGAAGAGAACCAGUUCAACCAUCAAACUGCUUAACCAGAAAAAUUUUAGAUGAACCAAUCAGUUUAUUUCUUUAAGACUGCAAUUUAACCAAAAUAAUUGAAGUCAAUCCAACUUUAUAUUCUACCGCUUAGCAACUUUAUGGGUUAAUUCUUUUGGUCACCAUCUCGAACACUAGCCAGCUGAAGCAAGUUAUACGCAUAAGUUGUUUUUCUUUUCUUUUUUGGGACAGGAAUUCAAAAUCUGUAAAGCAAAUAUGAUGCCCUCAACCAAUAUCAGAUGAACCAAGAAUUCAAGGACGAGAAAUCAUUUUUCCAAACCACAAGAACUAAUAGCAACUGUUCGAAAGUCAUUUUUCCUCCAAAUUUCCAGAAUCAAAUGUCAUUACAGCUUCCGGGCACGAGCAGCAGCUUUUUCUAAUGCCUUCAGUCUGUUAGCUUCCAUGCGAGUUCGCUGUUCUUCUGAGAGCAUAGUUCCAUUAGAACUGGAAGACGUUUUUCUGGGUGCCAUUGUUGGUGUCUCUUUAUCUCCAUGAGAUGCUUCAGCUUCAACUAUCUUGUCAUCUGAAGGCUUAGAUGGUUCCUGUCCAGUUUUUCCUAAUGCCUUCAGUCUGUUAGCUUCCAUACGAGCUCGCUGUUCUUCUGAGAGCAUAGUUCCAUUAGAAUUGGAAGACGUUUCUCCAGGUGCCAUUUUUGGUGUCUCAUUAUCUGCAUGAGAUGCACCAGCUUCAACAAUCUUGUCAUCUGAAGGCUUAAAUGGUUCCUGUCCAUACAGAGGUUGAAACAGUAGGGUAAAAGUUUAAAGCAUUUUAAACUUGAUUAAUAUGGUUGUUUUCAAAAGGAAAUUUAAUCCCAUCCCAUCUUACAACAUGCAAUAUUAGGUGCUUCUGUCAUCCUACUUUUGAUACAAUCACUUGAUCCAGUAACACUUAACAGCCUACAGCAACCAUUUCCUUAACCAACACUGACAGGUCUAAAAAUUACUGAAAAGACAAAUGUAAAGAGAUGAUAAUUAAGCUUCAGCCACCCGAGGCAAGUUCAAAGCUGAAACAAGUGCUUCCACCUUAAGCAUGAUAAUAUUUCUAUUAAAAAUUCUUAGCAUUAUGUAAUCAUAAUCACCAUUAACUCUUCAAUUCUACUUAUUACCAUGUAGUCCAUGUCUACAAUCAGUAAUUUCAUCCGAAUAUAAGCACCAUAUCACUGUUCAGAAUAUCUUUACUUCCCACAGAAUAUUCUACUUUUUUCAUAACCGGGCAUUGGAAUAGCUGAAAUUACCAGUAGUCAUUGUAGCCUGAAAAGAGCUUUCCCGGACAAAGAUUACAACUGCUGUUCUCAAUUCAUAUACGAAUUCGCUUUACAUGACACUUCGAAAUUGAGCAAGUUUUCAAGACAACAACACAGAAGUCAGUCUCGGAUAAUUAUUUUAAUAUUUAGCCUGUAAAUCCUAGGACUUCAAAAUUUUAAGCCAGCUUAAACUAAAAAGUCUUCAGAAACAUGUUAAGCAUGUCGAAUAACAGAGACUUAUAUUAGACUUCAGCCGGUUGAGUGGCAGUGAGGUCUCCAGAUCUUUCCUAUGCAUUUCAUUUGUUUGCAAAUACAAUACUUUUACUCUCAGCCUCACUGAUGAUUGGUAUAGCGGUGCUACCAUCCAUCAAUUUCUGCACAGGAAUGAACGAUGGCCCAUUUUGAGGAAUUACCAUUUAUGACAGAAAUUUGUCUCUCAUCUGGGAUGUCUGGCCUACGGUUCCAAAGAUAUUUUCAUAACUCUUGACCACAUUUCCAGUGAUCGAACUCAUAGGGAAUUGAAUCUCAAAUGAGGGGAACGUAGUAUUGGUGAGUUCUCUUGUGGAUACCUCAAACUGGUGAUCUUCAAAUACAGGCCUCAGUUUGAAAGUCCAUUUUUCCCUUCUAUUUUGAUCCAGUGACACAAGUUCACGCUGUUUUCUCGGGUUUUCUAUCUUUCAGGAUGUCAUGUCGCUGUUCAUUGAAAAUCCCAAAUGCUUAAUUCCUUUGAUGAUGAAUAGAUCUUUAUCAGCUUAACUUAGACGCUUUCAGGUUCGUACAUCUAUAUAUCUAUAACUUUAAGACCAUCUAGGAUGUGAAUACUAUGACAGUGAAAUUCAAAUUUCUUGCACUUUUCUUCACUAAGAGCAUGCCAAACCAGAGAUUAAGAGCACCAGAACAAAGCAUGAUGAUCAACUGUGCUCUAGUAGUUAGACUACCUAUACCUCCUUUUCAUUCCAAAUAAAAGACUGAACUUUGGAGAUGGGGCUGAGAUACAAAAUCUAGUCUGAACAUAGGAAAUUUUAGGUGUUAUGGUUUCAAGUAUUCACAUCUUUAACGAAGCAUCAAGUAAAUAUAGCACAUAAAACUUUAUAUUUACCUUAAACCUUGUGAUGAAUUGGCAACUUUAAGAUGUGUAAUUGCUGAAUGGAACAAAGGGUGAAAGAAAGUUUAAGACGCAUCCUUUCAUACUAUCUAACAUGAUCACUUUCAGAACAACCUGGGCGUGAAUCUAUAAAGCUGGAGUUAACACAAAAAGGAAAUCAACAAAGAGAUUCUAGGUAUCUCAACAAUUAGACUAUAUAAGCAGUUAUUCAACUAACACAUACCAUCCAGUUCAACUUAUAUUAAGAGUAGCAUAAAUGUGUAGAAGACCAAUUAGGAUUCACAGCGGGGCUUGCAAAAUUAGAAUCUGAAUAACAUAUGGCAGGUGUGGAUGCAUAGAUGCUUUGUCUGUGAAAGGAAUACAAACUCAUUAAAGCUAUUUCAGUUGAUGUGAUUCCUAAAGCCAGAGGAUUGUACGGCUACUAAAAUGAAACAAACUACCAAAUAUAAUGGACAACAGACAUCAAUUUAUGCUUGCAGAGAAAAGUUACAUGUUUCACAGAGAUAAAGCAGAAACAAAAAACAAUGAUACGCAUAUCAACAGAAUGUACCCCUAUUACAACAAAUCUGAAGUUUAAGAAAAUAAAAAUAAAAAACAUAUGCCCAAGAUCCAAAGAAGGGAAAAAAAAGUGAUAUGGAAAAACAAAAAGAACCAAAAAUUUUGAAGCAGCAUUAGAUCUAACCUCCAUGGCCUUUUCCCAAAUUUCAUUAAGGUUGCUUUCCUGAAGAGUACUAUUAUCUGGAAUUUCCAGACAUGUGUUAUCCUCAAUAGCAUUUUCCAUAUUAGUAUCCUCAUGAAAACGAUUUUCUUCUUCUAUGUCCCUGGCAUCUGCAACAAUAAAAAACACACCUUUGAUUAGACACCAGAGAAUCAAUUCCAAAUGAAGCAGUAGGACGUGCAGUUACUUAUAAUAUUGUUGAAUCAAACUCCUGAAUGGGUAUGCUUAGAGUAUUAGUAGUCCUGAUGCGAACAAAAUAAGAAUAACUUGAGUAGGUUUGAAUAGCAUUCACAACAAAAGCAAAAGGUAGACUGUACAUGGAGAAGUCAUCUAUGUAACUAGUUCUGUCACUUGCUAAAGUCACAAUGUAGAUUACCUAAAUUUGAGGUACCUUGUUCAUGAUUUGGAUUGUUAUCUUGAACUUGAGGCUCAUGCAGCUCUGCUGGGUCUACUCCAUCGGCAAUUCUCUCUCGUAAUUCUCGGAUACAUUUCUGGUAUGAUAAGUUCCAGAACAUAUGGAACAUCAGACACAUACUAACAUGAUUCAUUUUGAAACAUCUAAAGAAAUAGUGGAUGGCUACUCCAAACUCAACCACCACCACCACCCCGCCCCCCUCACCAAAAAUCACCACAUAUAACACAGAAAGCUUUAUACCAGCCUUUACAGAGCAUAUAGUUUUACUGAAACCUAUAGCAUAUACUGCUCUGCAGAUAAUUGCAAGGGAAUUGAGGACAAUUGACUAGACAAACCAUUUUAACAAACUAAUCCCAUUUUAACAAGUUAGUGCUGUAAGAACCCCAAUAUAACAGAAAGAAUGUGCAAAUGACACUCCAUAAUGAGUUAUAAUUUAGUAGGCACUCCAGCUAUUGAACUAAAUUUACAUCCUGAAGGUCUUAUUGUUGAGCAGCUUUAGACCAUUGAUAAUUAAAGCAGUGGCAGAGCUGGGAUAUUUCUGGGGGCACCAAACAAUUACCUUUGAUAUCCCAAUAAUACUUAUAAUCUAAUAUUUAUGAUAUGAACUAUCCUACUUGUUUACUGAAGACCAUGCAAAAAGAACAAACAACAUGAACAGUCAACAUAAGAAAAGAGGGUGUACUUGAUGAAAAUAAAUAUAAAAAGAAAAAAUAAGUCACAGACCGUUUAAUUCUCUUCAGAUUGUUUGUAAUGCAGAUAGUGAACUACUGAUACGUUAAACAGUAGAACUAAAAAAUUGAUAAGUUUUUGGGGAGGGGGAGCAAAAUUCUAUGGAAUUGAAGGGGUUCAUCGUAAAACUUUUCUAGUCAACAUACAAGAACUAGUUGUUGUUAUGGAUGGAUAAACUAUCCUAUUUAGCUUGAUCAUGCAAAUCUUACAAAUGAAUUUGUGUUGCUACUAAAUUAAUAACAAAUUCACCAACUAUUUUGUCCUUCAUGUUGGUAUUACAAAUUUCCUACAAUUUGGCAGGGGAACUCCAAGUGGGAAAUUUGAGGGGCUAGAAUAAAAGGAACCUAAAAUUCCUUGUGCCUCUGAAACAUCUCCUAAACAUCAGGUGGGAAAUUAGCUUCCCCCCCCCCCUUCAAGUCAAUGUUGCGUUGUCACUCGAUGAAAGCACCCAUUGAUAACAGAAGAUCUAAUAGCAAGAUAAAAGAAGCAUUGUAGAGCAUUAACAGUCAAGAAAGAAAUCUGAAGUUCUCUAUCAUGCUAUGCUGUUUACAAACUCCACUUGAUCCUCCAACUAUUACGAUAUUACUUCUUUUGUCUUGCUAGUGCAUGUAUUUCCAUUUUCUGCAUAAUUCUUCCGGGGCACUUUUGCUGGUUUUCCUAAUUUAAGUCCUAUUGUAUAAUACUUUUAGUUUUAUUGCAGAAAAGCAUCUUGGACAAAAUGAGAAUAAUGCAUUAGGUCAAAUUGCUAAAGCAGAAGAGAAGUCAUACCUUCCUUAUCAAAAGAAAAGGAGAUAAACAACCUCAGUACCAUGGUAAAUUCAACCUUUAUUCCAUCCUUAACUUUCAACAAGGAAUGAUAUCUUAUGGAGUAUGUGAAAUUGUGGAUUAAAAUUAUACCAAAAGUAGUACUUGAAGUUUGGGCCUUGGCGAUAAUUUUAUCGACAAAAUUAUCAAACAUUUGAUAGUUUCCUAGUAGUAGAUAUCAAAAAAGUAGCUUCAUCGGUAGUAAUCUGAGGUUUGAUCAGUAAAAACAUUUUGUACUUGUCACUUCUUGUUUGAUAAAUUUACAGCAGCUCCAUCACAAUUUCUUAUCUUCCUCAUCUUUUUCUAGAUGAGACUAGAUGUAUCCACUCAACUAGCAUCCUUCGCUCCUUGUGGAAUUUUGCUUUUAAUUUCAACAUGCACUCAUUGAGAAUUCUACUGAGUGAUAGUCUUGGCCCUUUUUCAAGCAUUCAUGUCUCUCAGAUAUGCUAUUUCAAGCUGCCAGCUUUUAAAUUGUAGAACUUGUUCGCUUCCACCUCUGUUUCGUUUUUAGCUGGUUGUAAGACUAGAACUUUUCUUGUUAAAAUUUUGGACUGAAGCUCUUUCUAUUAAUACUUAAGAGGAUCUAAUCUAGUAAAGUACUUCAUGUGGAGUAAUGUUAACUAGGGCAUUUACAAUGUGCAUCUCCACGAGGGACUUUGGCAUACUGAAAAUUCAGUUUAGAAUUGUGUGAUACCAAGUUCUACUUCUACAAGUUGUGAUCUUGAGUAAAUGCUAGGUGUGAUGUCAAGGUUCUUCCUUUCCCUGUUUCCACUCCUGAUCUUGCAGUUAUCAACUCAGAGUAAACCCUUUCAUUAAAUUGAGCAAUCACUGAAUCGACUCUUUACAAAUCGAUAUUUUACUCUCUUUCCAACAUGAGGAACAAUUUUACUAGGAACCAUUGCAGUACUCAAGCUUUUCUCAAUCUUACCCCAUCGCACAAAUUAUUUCUACAUCAAUGAGAUGGAUAGGCAUUUGAGUGCUCUGAAUAUAAUACCAAAGAACAAGGGCAAUUCUUGUUCAUGAAUUAGUUGACUUUGAGCAGUCAAUUUUUCCAUAUUAAAAUGUAAUAUGGAAUUUGUCCAGGAAAAGAUAUCCGACUAUUUAGUGUGCUGCAGUAAGAAGUCAGUGCAAUGUGUGUUUGAACACAAUCACACUUCAUUUGAAUUGUUUAAUUCAGUAGCUAAAAUACCUGGGGCUAGAUUACAUCACUACCCAUGGGCAUUCCAGAGAAUUUGUCAUUACAAUUGGUAACACGAUAGAUUUAUCCAUGAUGACAGGUUAACAUUUGCUAUUUAACUCUUCUUCCUUAUCAUGAGACUAAUCAGGAAAAAUAAUAUGCUCAAGUACAAAACUUACAGAGCUUAAAAGGGGCAUUGAGAGGAAAUGACCAUGGAAGCCAUGUCACCAGUAUAUCUGGCUAUGACGCCAUUUACAGCCCUCAAUGAACCACUUUAAAAUUCUGCACAACUAAAGAUUGUCUAAAGAACCAGGGUAUUUUUUUGCCUGACAGACUCCAAACUUGAUGUUGCACAUAGGUGGAGCAAGAUACUUUGGAGGAAAAGAGAUUGGAUGCCGAACACGACAACAGCAAUAUCAGCUAGUUCAUUUGUUAGAAUAUUGGAUAAAAUAGAUGGACAGUAUCACAUUGCUCAUUUGCAGAGGAUAUUAUACCCUAGAACAAACUAAUUUAUGCAGUAUGAAUAAAAGGAAAAGAAGAGAG